GGUUAAGCGACUAAGCGUACACGGUGGAUGCCCUGGCAGUCAGAGGCGAUGAAGGACGUGCUAAUCUGCGAAAAGCGUCGGUAAGGUGAUAUGAACCGUUAUAACCGGCGAUGUCCGAAUGGGGAAACCCAGUGCAAUUCGUUGCACUAUCGUUAACUGAAUACAUAGGUUAACGAGGCGAACCGGGGGAACUGAAACAUCUAAGUACCCCGAGGAAAAGAAAUCAACCGAGAUUCCCCCAGUAGCGGCGAGCGAACGGGGAGCAGCCCAGAGUCUGAAUCAGCUUGUGUGUUAGUGGAACGGUCUGGAAAGUCCGACGGUACAGGGUGAUAGUCCCGUACACCAAAAUGCACAGGUUGUGAACUCGAAGAGUAGGGCGGGACACGUGGUAUCCUGUCUGAAUAUGGGGGGACCAUCCUCCAAGGCUAAAUACUCCUGACUGACCGAUAGUGAACCAGUACCGUGAGGGAAAGGCGAAAAGAACCCCGGCGAGGGGAGUGAAAAAGAACCUGAAACCGUGUACGUACAAGCAGUGGGAGCACCUUCGGGUGUGACUGCGUACCUUUUGUAUAAUGGGUCAGCGACUUAUAUUCUGUAGCAAGGUUAACCGUAUAGGGGAGCCGCAGGGAAACCGAGUCUUAACUGGGCGUUAAGUUGCAGGGUAUAGACCCGAAACCCGGUGAUCUAGCCAUGGGCAGGUUGAAGGUUGGGUAACACUAACUGGAGGACCGAACCGACUAAUGUUGAAAAAUUAGCGGAUGACUUGUGGCUGGGGGUGAAAGGCCAAUCAAACCGGGAGAUAGCUGGUUCUCCCCGAAAGCUAUUUAGGUAGCGCCUCGUGAACUCAUCUUCGGGGGUAGAGCACUGUUUCGGCUAGGGGUCAUCCCGACUUACCAACCCGAUGCAAACUACGAAUACCGAAGAAUGUUAUCACGGGAGACACACGGCGGGUGCUAACGUCCGUCGUGAAGAGGGAAACAACCCAGACCGCCAGCUAAGGUCCCAAAGUCAUGGUUAAGUGGGAAACGAUGUGGGAAGGCACAGACAGCCAGGAUGUUGGCUUAGAAGCAGCCAUCAUUUAAAGAAAGCGUAAUAGCUCACUGGUCGAGUCGGCCUGCGCGGAAGAUGUAACGGGGCUAAACCAUGCACCGAAGCUGCGGCAGCGACACUAUGUGUUGUUGGGUAGGGGAGCGUUCUGUAAGCCUGCGAAGGUGUGCUGUGAGGCAUGCUGGAGGUAUCAGAAGUGCGAAUGCUGACAUAAGUAACGAUAAAGCGGGUGAAAAGCCCGCUCGCCGGAAGACCAAGGGUUCCUGUCCAACGUUAAUCGGGGCAGGGUGAGUCGACCCCUAAGGCGAGGCCGAAAGGCGUAGUCGAUGGGAAACAGGUUAAUAUUCCUGUACUUGGUGUUACUGCGAAGGGGGACGGAGAAGGCUAUGUUAGCCGGGCGACGGUUGUCCCGGUUUAAGCAUGUAGGCUGGUUAUCCAGGCAAAUCCGGAUAAUCAAGGCUGAGGUGUGAUGACGAGGCACUACGGUGCUGAAGUAACAAAUGCCCUGCUUCCAGGAAAAGCCUCUAAGCAUCAGGUAACAUCAAAUCGUACCCCAAACCGACACAGGUGGUCAGGUAGAGAAUACCAAGGCGCUUGAGAGAACUCGGGUGAAGGAACUAGGCAAAAUGGUGCCGUAACUUCGGGAGAAGGCACGCUGGUGUGUAGGUGAAGUCCCUGCGGAUGGAGCUGAGACCAGUCGAAGAUACCAGCUGGCUGCAACUGUUUAUUAAAAACACAGCACUGUGCAAACACGAAAGUGGACGUAUACGGUGUGACGCCUGCCCGGUGCCGGAAGGUUAAUUGAUGGGGUUAUCCGUAAGGAGAAGCUCUUGAUCGAAGCCCCGGUAAACGGCGGCCGUAACUAUAACGGUCCUAAGGUAGCGAAAUUCCUUGUCGGGUAAGUUCCGACCUGCACGAAUGGCGUAAUGAUGGCCAGGCUGUCUCCACCCGAGACUCAGUGAAAUUGAACUCGCUGUGAAGAUGCAGUGUACCCGCGGCAAGACGGAAAGACCCCGUGAACCUUUACUAUAGCUUGACACUGAACAUUGAGCCUUGAUGUGUAGGAUAGGUGGGAGGCUUUGAAGCGUGGACGCCAGUCUGCGUGGAGCCAACCUUGAAAUACCACCCUUUAAUGUUUGAUGUUCUAACGUUGGCCCCUGACCGGGGUUGCGGACAGUGUCUGGUGGGUAGUUUGACUGGGGCGGUCUCCUCCCAAAGCGUAACGGAGGAGCACGAAGGUUAGCUAAUCCUGGUCGGACAUCAGGAGGUUAGUGCAAUGGCAUAAGCUAGCUUGACUGCGAGCGUGACGGCGCGAGCAGGUGCGAAAGCAGGUCAUAGUGAUCCGGUGGUUCUGAAUGGAAGGGCCAUCGCUCAACGGAUAAAAGGUACUCCGGGGAUAACAGGCUGAUACCGCCCAAGAGUUCAUAUCGACGGCGGUGUUUGGCACCUCGAUGUCGGCUCAUCACAUCCUGGGGCUGAAGUAGGUCCCAAGGGUAUGGCUGUUCGCCAUUUAAAGUGGUACGCGAGCUGGGUUUAGAACGUCGUGAGACAGUUCGGUCCCUAUCUGCCGUGGGCGCUGGAGAAUUGAGGGGGCUGCUCCUAGUACGAGAGGACCGGAGUGGACGCAUCACUGGUGUUCGGGUUGUCAUGCCAAUGGCACUGCCCGGUAGCUAAAUGCGGAAGAGAUAAGUGCUGAAAGCAUCUAAGCACGAAACUUGCCCCGAGAUGAGUUCUCCCUGAGACUAUAAGUCUCCUGAAGGAACGUUAAAGACGAUGACGUUGAUAGGCCGGGUGUGUAAGCGCAGCGAUGCGUUGAGCUAACCGGUACUAAUGAACCGUGAGGCUUAACCUU
rnacentral:rRNA from 1 species